rnacentral:rRNA from 1 species
UACGUAGGGGGCACGCGUUGUCCGGAAUCAUUGGGCGUAAAGGGUGCGUAGGCGGUCGCGCAAGUCGGAUGUGAAAUCUCAGGGCUCAACCCUGAAACUGCAUUCGAUACUGCGUGGCUUGAGUACUGGAGAGGAGACUGGAAUUUACGGUGUAGCAGUGAAAUGCGUAGAUAUCGUAAGGAAGACCAGUGGCGAAGGCGAGUCUCUGGACAGUUACUGACGCUGAGGCACGAAGGCCAGGGGAGCAAACGGG